rnacentral:tRNA from 1 species
GCCUGGGUGGCUCAGUCGGUUAAGCAUCUGACUUCUGCUCAGGUCAUGAUCUCACAGCUGGUGGGUUCAAGUCCCACAUCGGGCU